GACGAACGCUGGCGGCGUGCUUAACACAUGCAAGUCGAACGGAAAGGCCCUGCUUUUGUGGGGUUCUCGAGUGGCGAACGGGUGAGUAACACGUGAGUAACCUGCCCUUGACUUUGGGAUAACUUCAGGAAACUGGGGCUAAUAUCGGAUAGGAUCUCCUGCUGCAUGGUGGGCGUUGGAUCGUUUCGGCGGUUGGGGAUGGACUCGCGGCUUAUCAGCUUGUUGGUGGGGUAGUUGCUUACCAAGGCUUUGACGGGUAGCCGGCCUGUGAGGGUGACCGGCCACAAUGGGACUGAGAUACGGACCAGACUCGUACGGGAGGCAGCAGUGGGGAAUAUUGCACAAUGGGCGGAAGCCUGAUGCAGCAACGCCGCGUGCGGGAUGACGGCCUUCGGGGUGUGAACCGCUUUCGCCUGUGACGAAGCGUGAGUGACGGUAAUGGGUAAAGAAGCACCGGCUAACUACGUG
rnacentral:rRNA from 1 species